rnacentral:rRNA from 1 species
CCUACGGGAGGCAGCAGUGAGGAAUAUUGGUCAAUGGACGAGAGCCUGAACCAGCCAAGUAGCGUGAAGGAUGACUGCCCUAUGGGUUGUAAACUUCUUUUAUAAAGGAAUAAAACGAGGCACGUGUGCCUUUAUGCAUGUACUUUAUGAAUAAGGAUCGGCUAACUCCGUGCCAGCAGCCGCGGUAAUACGGAGGAUCCGAGCGUUAUCCGGAUUUAUUGGGUUUAAAGGGUGCGUAGGAGGGUUGUUAAGUCAGUUGUGAAAGUUUGGGGCUCAACCGUAAAAUUGCAAUUGAUACUGGCAGUCUUGAGUACAGUAGAGGUAGGCGGAAUUCGUGGUGUAGCGGUGAAAUGCUUAGAUAUCACGAAGAACCCCGAUUGCGAAGGCAGCUUACUAGACUGUGACUGACAUUGAUGCGCGAAAGUGUGGGUAUCAAACAGGAUUAGAUACCCCAGUAGUC